rnacentral:rRNA from 1 species
AUUGAACGCUGGCGGCAUGCCUUACACAUGCAAGUCGAACGGCAGCGCGGGGCAACUUGGCGGCGAGUGGCGAACGGGUGAGUAAUAUAUCGGAACGUGCCCUGGAGUGGGGGAUAACGCAGCGAAAGUUGCGCUAAUACCGCAUACGAUCUAAGGAUGAAAGCGGGGGAUUCGCAAGAACCUCGUGCUCCUGGAGCGGCCGAUAUCUGAUUAGCUAGUUGGGGGGUAAAGGCCUACCAAGGCAUCGAUCAGUAGCUGGUCUGAGAGGACGACCAGCCACACUGGAACUGAGACACGGUCCAGACUCCUACGGGAGGCAGCAGUGGGGAAUUUUGGACAAUGGGCGCAAGCCUGAUCCAGCAAUGCCGCGUGAGUGAAGAAGG